AGCUCAGCCUGGGAGGCAGGCCCUGCCUGGUUGCCACAGUAAUCUCCAGUGGGUUGCUUGGAGCUGAGAGCUUUCCUUGGGCCUGGAAUGCAAGCUCCAGGUCUAACACAUUCCAGCCCCCAAAGCUUUUGUAAAAGAAAGAGGUGUCUGAACUAAUGUCUAUCAAAAACGAGGAAUGGAAUGAAGAGUCACCUGAGACUGACGUCACCCCGCGCAUCCAGGAGCACCGCUGCCUAGCCAUGUUGGCUUUCUGUUUUUUCUUUCCACUAGGCUACUUAGCCUAUCGCUCUUCUUGCAAGACAAGAAAGUACAAGGAACAGAAGGAAUACGAAAAGGCCAAAGCCACCUCCAAAAGCACCUUUAUUUAUGUCUUGGGCUCCAUCACUGGAGGGUUCAUCAUCCUUUUCUGCUUAUUUUAUCGACUCUUCUUUAUGUAACCUCUGUCAUGGCCCAGGACACGUCCAUCAGAUACAUACAACAAUGCAACUGAGCCUGCCUGCAGCUUUGGGUUCCCUGGACACCUUCUCUUUAAUGUCUGAAGUGCCAAGCUGAUUGAGAUCAGAAAUAAAUUUUGUAACAAUAAUGAGA